UACGUAGGGUGCAAGCGUUAAUCGGAAUUACUGGGCGUAAAGCGUGCGCAGGCGGUUAUGCAAGACAGAUGUGAAAUCCCCGGGCUCAACCUGGGAACUGCAUUUGAUACUGCGAAGCUUGAGUGCUGGAGAGGUAAGUAGAAUUCCUGGUGUAGUGGUGAAAUACGUAGAUAUCAGGAGGAAUACCGGAGGCGAAGGCGGCUUACUAGCCAGACACUGACACUCAGACCCGAAAGUGUGGGGAUCAAACAGG
rnacentral:rRNA from 1 species